GUAGUCCCGGCCCUAAACGGUGCGCAUUUGCUGUAGGAGGAAUCGACCCCUUCUGUGGCGAAGCUAACGCGAUAAAUGCGCCGCCUGGGGAGUACGGUCGCAAGAUUAAAACUCAAAGAAAUUGACGGGGGCCCGCACAAGCGGUGGAUGAUGUGGUUUAAUUCGAUGCAACGCGAAAAACCUUACCUACCCUUGACAUGCCAGGAACGCUGCAGAAAUGCAGCGGUGCCCGAAAGGGAACCUGGACACAGGUGCUGCAUGGCUGUCGUCAGCUCGUGUCGUGAGAUGUUGGGUUAAGUCCCGCAACGAGCGCAACCCUUGUCAUUAGUUGCUACAUUCAGUUGAGCACUCUAAUGAGACUGCCGGUGACAAACCGGAGGAAGGUGGGGAUGACGUCAAGUCCUCAUGGCCCUUAUGGGUAGGGCUACACACGUCAUACAAUGGCGCGUACAGAGGGUCGCCAACCCGCGAGGGGGAGCCAAUCCCAGAAAGCGCGUCGUAGUCCGGAUUGAAGUCUGCAACUCGACUUCAUGAAGUCGGAAUCGCUAGUAAUCGCGGAUCAGCAUGUCGCGGUGAAUA
rnacentral:rRNA from 1 species